rnacentral:lncRNA from 1 species
AUAAAAUUAAAAAAAAGGGAUAAUUUACAAAUGAAAUAAACUUUUGAAAUUAAAAUGAGGACCAAUGCACAAUGAGUACAAAUGCACAGGGGUUAAAGCUGUAAAUAAUCCAGAUCCCAAAACGCAGUGUUAAAACACGGACUAAAUUAGUAUUGAAAUAAAUUAUGAGGUCCAAACUAAAAUAAAGGAAAACUGGAUUUAGAAGAACAUUUAAUACGGAGGAACUUGGAGUGCAAAUACCCCAUCAACAAGGAAACGCGCGGAUCUAGGUUACUUGGGUCGGGUCACGCGCGAGUCCUCUCCACCCUUUUGAACGGCGUCGUUUCACUUUGCAAUCAAAAUUAAAGAAAAAACUAAAUGGCAAUCUGCCAUUUUCACAAACAGCAAAUCAAAUCCCUAAUGUUAGGGCUUCAACUUUGAGACACCGUUGAACCACCAUCAAACUUGGUGGCCGACCAUGCACAGAAGAGACGCAAUCAAAGGCCAGAGGUAAGUACUCUUUUUCCUUUAUUCACUUCAUGCAAAAUAUAAGAGAAAAGAAAAGAAGAAAAAAAUAUUAAAAAAAACGAGAUCUGAAAACUAAGAGAAAAAAAAAACUGAAAACUCGAAUCACCUUUUGAUUUUUCUUUUUUAUGUUGCUCUUUUCUUUUUGUAUUCAAUAUUUAGUAAAUCCUCCUAAAAUUAGUGUUUAGAAUGGCUUUUUAUAGCCAAAUUACAUCAAGAAUAUACAGGAAAAAUAAAUAAAAAAUAUUUAUUUUUUGCUGUAUUGUUGUUAUUUGCCGUUAUUUGUGUGCUGGCAAUCUGUUUUGCAGGUAUGCACGACGUGGAGAAGCUGUUCGUGGUGACGUGUCAACGCAGAGCAUGAAGCAACGACGCGCGUGGAAGUUGGCACGAGGCCAGCAGCGGCGCAAGGGGGAAAGGGAACCCUAGUGUUCUAAAAUUAUUAAACUUCGGGCCUGGGCUGGUUUUUUUUUGUUAUUGGGCCAUUUAAUUUGUAUUUUGGGCCUUGUUAUUUUGAAUUUUGGACUUGGGUAUUAUUAAGGACAUUGGACUUUAAUUUUGGUUUUUUUUUUUUAGUUUAUUUUGUGUUUUGGUUUUUUGUAUGGGCCCGGGCGAAAUGGGCCUAUUACAAGACUCUUUUUCUAGCUUCAUUUCAGAGACCCUCAUAUUUAAUGUCUAGGCAAAGUGUAACACUCCUAUACCCAACUCGCUCGUCAGUUCCGAGCAUAAGAAUGUUACAUUCAUUGUCGAAUCAAUUUCAGAGAAAUUCAGUUCAAAUACUCUUCCUAAUCAAAUUAAUAGGACAAUUUACAAUUAAUAUUAAAUCUCUAAUUUCAUUCCAAGCUUUAAUUGAGCUUUUGUUAGCUAUUGCAACAGUUUUUAAGUCAUUUAGGACUUAUUUGCAAACUUUUAAAACUUAUAGCAAUUUCUUAGUAUCAUAUUCAUACACUAUUUUUUCUCCUCCUCCCC